GGCCUCCUGGUACUUACCACAGGUUGUGCUCUUAUGCUGACUGUACAGAAAGAGGAGGCAGAGUAAACACACUGUAUAUACCCGGCAGCCCAAGCCUUUUGCCUGGUCUGUAUUGUGAAUGGGGGUAGGGAG